rnacentral:sRNA from 1 species
CUUUUAUGAUGGGAAAAUUGACCCGCUUGUUUGGCUGAGUCAUUGUGAUCAUUACUUCCGCCAUCAACAUAUUCCAGAGGAAUAGAAG